rnacentral:rRNA from 1 species
UACGUAGGUGGCAAGCGUUGUCCGGAAUUAUUGGGCGUAAAGCGCGCGCAGGCGGUUUCUUAAGUCUGAUGUGAUAGCCCACGGCUUAACCGUGGAAGGUCAUUGGAAACUGGGAGACUUGAGUGCAGAAGAGAAGAGCGGAAUUCCACGUGUAGCGGUGAAAUGCGUAGAGAUGUGGAGGAACACCAGUGGCGAAGGCGGCUCUUUGGUCUGUAACUGACGCUGAGGCGCGAAAGCGUGGGGAUCAAACAGG